GUGGAAACGCUCCUGUCGAAAAACUACGGUCUUCUGUAGAUAUUCCUUCCGUCGCGAUACCAGUUUUCCAACUUGUUUUGCUGUUGUGUAGUGACAUGUAUGGACAUCGACAACGGGGGGCAACUCUGAUCGAGCGGAACGUUCGCGAGAUACAGAAAUUUCGGCCGUCAACGGCCAGCAGCAUCGUGCUUCGCGUUCAGUGACAGUAUGCCGAAGCCGAACGCGAAUUUCGACUGAAUCUCUGCUGUUGCCAGAGUUUGCAUGGGAUAGUUUGCGAGCGUGAUUUCGUACUGUAAGCUGCACCGGUAGUACGCUGUAUGUUGGUCUGCGAUAGUUUAAUACCAUACUUGGCAUCACCGUCAUGCCGGGCGGAUGAAUGGAUUAAGGACGUUUGUAGAGAGCGGUGCGCCUUCGCUGCAACGCCAGUUGGGUCAUGUUGUUCGGUUGGCACAAACGAGGCAAUGGCGCUGUCUAGAGAGCUCUCCGCAACGUACUGGUAUUUUGGCGUGUCGCAACGUCUGCGUACCGCAAGUUUCAUUCACUUUGCACUAUUCGGCUGGUUGUCUGCCUUCCUUUAGGGGACCUUUUGUGAUCGUCUGGUGGUUUCGUCCCGCCCAUCGCGCCUGCUGAAGGCCACUUUGUCAUUUAAGUUCAUAAUGGUGCUACACUGUUUUCGCGAACGUCUUGCACGCUCGAAACGUCAUCGUUUACCGGUGUAACGUGUCUGUUCUAAAACUGAGGACGGCA
rnacentral:lncRNA from 1 species